GUGCUCCAUAUUAAGAUUUUAUUUUCGGAGAUUAUUUUUCUCUCAUUUUGUAGCAGAGAAGCUGAGAACCCUGGUAUUCAAAGAGAGGAAGUGCUGCGUUGUCUCAGGAGCCAGCAUGAGAUGCUGCACCUAUGCUUCGACCUGUCACUGGUCGCAUUCCUUUCCUUAAGAGAAGAAUGGGAACUGAGUGCCGGGACUCUGUGUUAGCUCCUUCUACCUACAAGCUUGGGACACGAUGAACAAGGACCAACUCUGCAUCUCAAAACACGGAUGGGAGCUUUGGAAGUGCAAGUAGCAGGAAUGCCUCUGGGGGUCCUGGUCAAACUCAAGCUAAUUGAUGAGGCUCAGCGAUG
rnacentral:lncRNA from 1 species